rnacentral:lncRNA from 1 species
UGGUUCAUGGCCAAGUUUCUGGAGGAAUCAUUUCAACCAAGACAGGAAGGAAGAGUUCGGGAAGCCCAGAGUGAUGCAUCUAGGAACCAUUAAUUAAAUCGGCAAAGAUGUCAUUUCCGAAUGACAGCUCUGGGAGGAUCUGCUCAAACCAUAUCAAAGAUCCAAAGGCCUUUCUCAGCUUCCAGAGGAGGUCUUUGAAGAGGAAGGAGCCCUGUGACUCUGGGUCUGCGGAUUAACCCUGUGCAUUCACCAUGUCCCACCCAAAUGGUUAGAGCAGCAGGGUCCCUGCAGAGUGACAUGUUCAGGGCCUAUCACCUUGGAGAGCUUCAUGGCUGUCUGAGUUACUUUUCUAUUGCCGAGAUGGAGCACUAUGACAAAAAGUAACUUGGGGAAAACUUGUAACUCUCAGGUCCCAAUCCAUCACUGACAAAAAUCAGGGCAGGAACUCAAGGUAGGAACCUGGAGGCAGGAACUGAAGCAGAAGCUAGGAGGAUGGCUAUAUACUGCCAUCCUGCCUAUUG